CACCUUCAGUUCCUUCAUUGCAGCAACCAGCUUCUGCUUAGAUUUCUUUUGCUUUACUUCCAAAUUAAAAAUCCAAUCAAAACACCCACACAAAAAAAAGUAGUGCCUUUGAAGGGGAUAGCCUUCAUAUUUCCUGGUUUUCGUUUGCCCCUUGAUUUCAUUGUGUCAUUUUUUUAAUUUUUUCCAAUUCGUUUCGCUUUUCCUUUGCCAUUGUUCCCAAAAGAACCUUAUUCAUUAUAUAUUAAAAAAAGGAAAAAAAGAAGCAGCAGAAUUCUGGUUUUCGUUUCACACCCUUGAUUUCGUUCUGUUAUUAUCACCUCUGUUUUGCUUUUACUUUCAAAGAGAGAAAAAAAAAAAAAAAGUAGUAGUAGCAGUUCAGCUUUGUCUCAUCAUUAGGCUGAUUGUGCUGCGGUGUUCUAUAAGCAUUUUGAAGGGAACUGAUAUCAUUCGUAACCAAAAGAGUGAAAGUUUCUUCAUUGCAGCAACUGUUUUUUUCUGAUUAAGAGUCACCUGCGCGCCUUCGGUUUCUUCAUUGCAGCAACCAGCUUCUGCUUAGAUUUCUUUUGCUUUACUUCCAAAUUAAAAAUCCAAUCAAAAAACCAAAAAAAAAAGAGAGUACUGCCUUCAGAUUUCCUGGGUUUCCUUUGUCCCUUGAUUUCAUUGUGUCAUUGUGUCAUUGUGGUAGUUCAGCUUUGUCUCAUUUACCAGACCAAUUGUGCUCCGGCGUUCAGUAAAGCAUAUUUGAAGGGAACUGACCUUAUUCGUAACUAAAAGAGAGAAAGGUAUAAGAUACAAGAGUCUCAUUCCAAAGGCAAAACAAAAAAAAAAAAACCAUGGAGAUCCUCAGCGGAAUUAUUUCUAAAGUAAUCGAGUACAUAGUUGAACCAGUUGGGCGACAAGUGGGUUAUCUGAUUAACUACAAAAGCAACCUUGAAAGUCUGAGGAGUCAAUUGAAUAACUUAGAUGCUGCCAAAGACCGGAUGAAGCAUAGGGUUGAUAAAGUUGAAAGAAAUGGUAAAGGAGUAGAAACUGAUGUCCAGAACUGGAGAAAAGAAGCAGAUGGGAUCACUCAAGAGGCAGAAAAGAUUUUGGGAAAUGAAGGCCAAGCAAAGACAAAGUGUUUCCGUGGAGUAUGUCCUAAUCUGGUUUCGUAUCAUCAGUUUAGCAGGAAAUCAGCAAAAUUGGCAAAAAAGAUUGAGCUA